rnacentral:lncRNA from 1 species
UAUUUAAUGCUCCAUACAUGUGCCGUAAGAUUCAAUGUGAUAGAGAAUCUUGAAAAAUUUUUGGUUUUUGAGAUGAACUAAACAAGGCCUACCUUAGAUGGCUAUUUAAAACAAUAAUUUUUAGAGACAAACAUUUUAAGAUACACGUCUUUAAGAAUCUGUACUAAUAGGGCAACCAUUCUAAAUAAACAUAUCUAAAAUCGAUUAAAUGAGUCAGACAUCUUAAAGGUCCGUCUCUAGAAAUAGUUGUAUUAAAAACUAACUAGUACAUUGCCCGUGCUAACGCUACGGUGACAUUUAGAAAAAAAUUACAAAACUAAAAUAAAUCAUAAAACUAAAAAAACAAAUCUACCCCACUAACCAGAAAGUAUAUAUGAAAAUUAUGGUACUUCAUUUGGGAACAUAUAUUUGGUUUUAAGUUUUAAAAUGCUAUGUAGAAAAGUUGAGAAACACAACUGAUCUACAAAGUUCCAAGAAAUUUGCAGUCUUGAAUACUGAACCAGAAGCAAAACUAGCACCAACUUCUGUAAUUUAGGAACACAUUUACCAUGUCAAAACUUAACAAUCACCGGAUAGAAAAUUUUACUAUAAGCAAUUUGUAUAAUUGUAUUGCACAAAUACUCAAACUGAGACCAUUCCAAGUCUUGAUAAAUUGAUCUACCAAUCUAGUGAAUUAGACUGAAAAAAGGUAAUGAGCCACAUCUAUUCUCACAUCAAACCGG